CAAGAGUGCAUAUGAUAAAAUUAUCAAAGAAUUGGCAAUUUAUGUUUCAAUUACUAACGUAAAAUUUCAAAUAGUUAGUUAAUGAAGGAUUAUCUAAUAGUAAUUACUAAUUUGUUAGUAAACUUGAAUGCCUGCUCCUGAUACUUUAUCUUUCAGUUGACAGCAAACAAUUUCAACCACCAAAAAGUGAUAUUCCACCACUAAAAUGGCAGUUUGAAACUUUGAAUGAAUGCUUUCAUGCUAGCGAAGCAAUCUGUCUGAUUCAACCAAAAACCAACCCUUAUUCCUACGACUUCUGGUGCUUUAAAAACCGCACAUAGUGAUUAGAGUAUCGGGUGGAAGGACUCUGUAGAUCUAUUUGGGUUUAGGGUGAUGGCUCGAAUUGACAAGUGGAAAUCCAGCAGCAGAGAAUGUGCAUCUCUCAAGCAAACAGAAGCCACAAAACCAGCUUGAACAUUCUCCAAACAAGACCAAUUAGGUAAUCAUUGGAACAAGAUCUAUAGAGUAUACAUCUGCACGUUGCUUAAUAUAUGGUUUAUUAGAACUUACAGUUAACACAACUAAAAGUCCAAACAAAGUUGCUCAUAGGUGGUAUCAACGAUUGUUCCUCUGACGAGCUAAUUCUCGUGCCAUCUCCCUCAAUUCCUCUGGUGAGGGAGGCCUUGGUCCCUCCGGGGUAUAAACUAUGUAUGAACGAUCGCCCAUGAAUUUCUGGAGAUUCUUGGUAUUGUUGGCGAAAGUGUACAUAAGAAAGAUGGGAACGGUCACAUACACACCGAACUUGGCGAUCUCCAAAAUCCCCUUUGAUGUUCCCAGCGAUGACAUUUUCCCGAGAAAAAUCCUGCUUACCCAGAAUCUCACCAGGCA
rnacentral:misc_RNA from 1 species